rnacentral:rRNA from 1 species
UGGGGAAUUUUGGACAAUGGGGGAAACCCUGAUCCAGCCAUUCCGCGUGAAGGAUGAAGUAUUUCGGUAUGUAAACUUCGAAAGAAUAGGAAGAAUAAAUGACGGUACUAUUUAUAAGGUCCGGCUAACUACGUGCCAGCAGCCGCGGUAAUACGUAGGGACCAAGCGUUGUUCGGAUUUACUGGGCGUAAAGGGCGCGUAGGCGGUGUGUCAAGUCAGUUGUGAAAUCUCUGGGCUUAACCCAGAACGGCCAAGUGAUACUGUCGCGCUAGAGUGCAGAAGGGGCAAUCGGAAUUCUUGGUGUAGCGGUGAAAUGCGUAGAUAUCAAGAGGAACACCUGAGGUGAAGACGGGUUGCUGGGCUGACACUGACGCUGAGGCGCGAAAGCCAGGGGAGCAAACGGGAUUAGAUACCCCUGUAGUCCCUGAGCGGGCUGGCAAGGCGCAU